rnacentral:rRNA from 1 species
AUUGAACGCUGGCGGCAGGCCUAACACAUGCAAGUCGAACGAGUGGCGGACAGGUGAGUAAUGUCUGGGAAACUGCCCGAUGGAGGGGGAUAACUACUGGAAACGGUAGCUAAUACCGCAUACCAUCGGAUGUGCCCAGAUGGGAUUAGCUUGUAGGGGAGGUAACGGCUCACCUAGGCGACGAUCCCUAGCUGGUCUAAGAGGAUGACCAGCCACAAUGGAAGUGAGACACGGUCCAGACUCCGACGUGAGUCAUCAGUGUGGAAUAUUGCACAAUGGGCGCAAGCCUGAUGCAGCCAUGCCGCGUGGAUGAAGAAGGCCUUCGGGUUGUAAAGUACUUUCAGCGGGGAGGCUUUACCCGCAGAAGAAGCACCGGCUAACUACGUGCCAGCAGCCGCGGUAAUUC